rnacentral:lncRNA from 1 species
CACAAUAUCCAACCAUAACCAACAUACAAGUCAUUAACCACUUUAGCACAUACUCCACACAUAACCCAUUCCUUCACCUUAAACCAUCCACCUCAAGUAACCCUUGGACAACACUUUGUGCAAUGUAUGGAUAGCGUCCCAUACCACCAUCCACACUAAAGCAUCAUCCUAAGGCCACCAAAUGUGAACUUACCACUUAUCAUGCUUCAUAUCACAAG